GAUGAACGCUGGCGGCGUGCCUGAUACAUGCAAGUCGAGCGAACAGACGAGGAGCUUGCUCCUCUGACGUUAGCGGCGGACGGGUGAGUAACACGUGGAUAACCUACCUAUAAGACUGGGAUAACUUCGGGAAACCGGAGCUAAUACCGGAUAAUAUAUUGAACCGCAUGGUUCAAUAGUGAAAGACGGUUUUGCUGUCACCUAUAGAUGGAUCCGCGCCGCAUUAGCUAGUUGGUAAGGUAACGGCUUACCAAGGCAACGAUGCGUAGCCGACCUGAGAGGGUGAUCGGCCACACUGGAACUGAGACACGGUCCAGACUCCUACGGGAGGCAGCAGUAGGGAAUCUUCCGCAAUGGGCGAAAGCCUGACGGAGCAACGCCGCGUGAGUGAUGAAGGUCUUCGGAUCGUAAAACUCUGUUAUUAGGGAAGAACAAAUGUGUAAGUAACUAUGCACGUCUUGACGGUACCUAAUCAGAAAGCCACGGCUAACUACGUG
rnacentral:rRNA from 1 species